rfam:Echinostoma caproni strain Egypt genome assembly, scaffold: ECPE_scaffold0024100
GGCCUCGUAGAUCAGCUGGUACAGCACGCGCGUACAAAGCGUAGGCGGCUUCCAUGCGUGGGUUCGAAUCCCACCGAGGCUA